rnacentral:lncRNA from 1 species
AUGGAUCUGCAGUUGUUGAUUAAAAUGGUCUGUAAGCUUGGUAAUUGUUGCUGCAGUUUUUUUGGUGUUGCGUUUAUGUUUGUGACAGAAUACAUAGCUUCAGUCUGAUGUGAGGCUAGCAUAGGUUACCUAUGGUUUUGUUUUUAAGCUAGAUUUAGAGUAGUUAUGAAUGAGGUGAUAUAAUUUGAUUGUUUUACAGUUUGGUCGUGCUUCUGGAAUCAUACAG